rnacentral:rRNA from 1 species
UACGAAGGGGGCUAGCGUUGCUCGGAAUUACUGGGCGUAAAGGGCGCGUAGGCGGUUCUAUAAGUCAGGCGUGAAAUUCCUGGGCUUAACCUGGGGGCUGCGCUUGAGACUGUGGGACUUGAGGUCAGAAGAGGGUCGUGGAAUUCCCAGUGUAGAGGUGAAAUUCGUAGAUAUUGGGAAGAACACCGGUGGCGAAGGCGGCGACCUGGUCUGGUACUGACGCUGAGGCGCGACAGCGUGGGGAGCAAACAGG